UGUGAAACAUACCACUAUUUUGAUCUUCCAUUCUGUAAACCAGAUUAUGCCAGGAGAUUGUGUUUUUGAAAGUUGAAGUUGCAGAGCUUCUAUUACAAAGUAUUUUUGUAAAUCUAGCCAGGAGGAGAGACUUAGAUAUUGAUAUUCAACAAUUGAUAUCCUUGCAGCCUGUAGGUUUAAUUCGUGAACAAAGUAAUGUCCUUGCUAGACAGGUUGUUGAGUAUUCUACUCACAAUGCAUACAUCUUCUGGAAAGGCUACAAUGUCAUUGUCGACUUCUUUAUGGAGGAAGGUAAUUUUUCUUGCGAAUAUGCUAAUGCAACACUUUUUUUUGGUUGGUUUUGCUUUUUUCUUUGGAACUGGCUACAGCAACAAUUUGGCCUUCAGUUUUGUUUAAUGCAUUAAUAUUCUAAGUUCAUGAUGUGGCUUUUAGUUUCUGUUACUUCAUACAUCCUUCAUCCUUGGUUUUUCCUAUGUGGAGUUGAAGACCACAUCUUUGAUUGACCUAUUAAAUGUAAAGCAGGCAAAGAAUAGUCAUUUGCAUCUAGCCUCUAAGUAGAUUUUAUUCUCUUUAUAUUUUUAACCAUUUACCAUUCUUCUUGUAAACUUUAGUUGUCUUUACUCAGAAAAUAUAGGUAUACAUGGGUUCUUAUAGAACAAGGGCUAUAGACACCAACAGGUAACUAGUACAAGAUCAAAAAACUAAGGCAUAUUUACAAUAGUGAGUAAUACUAUGUAUAACAAUUAAUAAAAACACAUUCAGUAAUAUUAUUAGUGAAUCUUUCUUUUUCAAUACUACAUAUAUAUGGAUCCGGCACAAUGCUUUUCUACAAUUGAUUUGUUACUUUUGAAAUUAAUAUAUGUGAUACUUUGUUGCUUUCUUUCUCAUUUUCUGACAAGUUUGUGUUCCUAGGUGUUUUGGCUUUCGAUUUAUUAUCUUGCAGUUGCAAAGUCUGCAGUUGUGAGUUUCGAUGCUUUCAUACUCUUCUUAAAAUUUUCUUCCUGUACUUCUGGUGGCCUUUUGACCUCUGGUUUGAUACCAUUUCUCUAAUGUGUAUUAUUUGGUCUUUUGCUUCAGUUAUCUCAACAUAUUGAGAUACUUGUCUCAGCAGUCACUCAUAUCAAUGAACCUAACAGCUUAUAUGGGAUCAUUCUGUCCAAGAAGGUAAGUAAUACAUGUAUACUUAGCUUUGAAUUGUAGUUAAAGGUAAGUAAUACUACUGAACAAGCUUUGUAUAAUAGUUUUGACCAUCUAGAUUGGUUUCUUUUUUUUUUUUAGAGAUUAUUGUUUUGAGAUUUACUGAUUUGUUAGUGAUUUAUCACACUCUUCCCAAAAAAUUAACUUCUUUUACCUUAAUUGUCCUUGUAUGUUCCAUGUGCCAAGGUUAUGUGAAAAUUUAAAACAUUAUCACUUGUAUUCUGAUGGACAUCUAUGAAAGAGGAGUGAAAGUUUGUUGUGCUCAGCUUUCUUGCAUUUGUCAUUAACCUGUUGUUAUAAAUUCAUGAAAUAAGCAUGUACUCAUGGUUGUCCCUUUUUUUUUUCUUUUUCUUAGGGGUGAUAUCAUUAUCAGCUGACCUCUCUAGUGUAGUAUUUACCAUCUGUCUUUUUGGUCAUCAAUUAUUUUGCAGUAUGAGGCUGCUUGGCAUGCUGGAAACUGGAAUUUUUCCUUGCUUUACAUGGGAGAUAAUUCACAUAGUGAGCAAAACUAAAAGUGUCCAUUUCAAUGAAAAUCUGCACAGGUACAAUGAUGAGUUAAGAUUUCUUUUUUACUUCAGUAUAAUUCUACCAUCUAUAUAGUAGAACUUCUGGGGCAUAGUUUAUCUCUACUACAAGUACUUGCUCCACUAUAUAACUGAGAUGGUCAUACUGGACUUGAGGCUUUUUAUUGUUAAAGAAAUAGUUCUUUCUUUUUUUAAAACAAAACUGCCUUGUAUUUCUUGUAGAAUAAAACGUAAUACAACCAUUACAUAUAUAUAGCGUUUAUACAACUAAUACUCUUAAUUACAGAAUAAAACGUAAUAAACAUAAUUAACUACAAAUCCUAUAAGAAAGGAAAGAACAUCUAUAAUCCUUGAUUUCCUCUUACUUCUUUCCAAGGAUACUUUGGUAACAUGCUAUUAUCUGGCUCUCAAAGUCAGCUAGAAACCUUUUGUUUGUUAUUGUCUUUUAUAUCUGGCUCUCAAAGUCAGUCAGUUACCUUUUGAUUAUUAUUAUCUUUUAUGUUAUAUACUGCUGAAAUUGUAUGAUUUUUAGUUGAAAGGAUUACACAUGACAUUGUCAUUGUUGUAAUUUUUAUUCCUCAAGAAACUAACAAGUGUGCUUAUAGAUAUUUUGACUGGUUUCCCUGUGGUUCACUCUAUCAGAUAGACAAGAUAUCAUAACUAACAUUGCAUGGCAAGCUAAUAAAGUCAUAAUUAGCUAAGAAAAUUGACUCACAACAAAGACAAGUGCACAAAGGAUGAUGAAUUGAAGGAUGGAGCAAGUUUCAUGCAUGAUUUACUUUUGAGUAUCUUGUAAUGUUUCUGUUUUUCAUUUUUGAAGUAAAAAUUGUUCAAGAUUAUAAAAUUUUAUUAUGUUAUGCUUUCAAACUUAAGUUAGAACUAAGAUCUCAUGAAGUAGACACAUUCAUGGUUUGAAUUAGUUAUUGUUUAAUGUAAUACUUAUGGUUUAUCAAUCUAUUGAGAAUUACAUUU